CGCCUGGGCCAACCGUCCCCCUCCCGCCUUCCCAGCCUCCUCAGACCAACCUGCCAUGGCCCAGCUGCUCACCCACUCCUCCCCAGCCCCGCGCCUCAGGGCUUGAGGGGACAUUCCCCGAGGACCGGCUUUAGUCUCUGGAUAAAUCAAAUAUAAAACGAAUACAAAAUAUUGGCAAGUAUCUACCAAAAAAAGCUAUUUAGCUUUCUUGUUACCUAAAAAGUACCUGAGAAGACCCUUAUAACCUGCUCCAAGAAAGAAACCCUGAGAGACCCUUCUAACUUUCUCCAAGAAAGAAACUCCACAAGUUAGUACACAUUAGCUAAUUUCAGAGAAAACAAUACCUGGAAAAGGAAAGUUCUCAAGAGCAUGAGCCUUGGAGUUUGAAUCCUGAAUUAGAAUGCCUGCUCAGCCGUCUACUGUUGGAGAACCUGGAGCAAGAUUCUUGAUGUCUUUGAAGCUCAACUUCCUCAUCAGUAAAUUGGAAUGAGAAUGCUUUAUCUCACACGGUUAAUGUAAGGAUUAAAUAAUGUAUGUAAAACAUAUCACAA